GGACGGAGGGUGCAAGCGUUGCUCGGAAUUACUGGGCAUAAAGAGUGGGUAGGUGGUGAGCACAGUCUGGGGUGAAGCCUUGAGCUUAACUCAAGAAGGACCUCAGAAACAUGCUGACUAGAGUCCUCAAGAGGGUUGUGGAAUUCCCGGUGUAGCGGUGAAAUGCGUAGAGAUCGGGAGGAACACCAGUGGCGAAGGCGGCUACCUGGACCAGCACUGACACUGAGGCACGAAAGCGUGGGGAGCAAACAGG
rnacentral:rRNA from 1 species